ACUCAAAUGAAUAGACGGGGGCCCGCACAAGCGGUGGAGUAUGUGGUUUAAUUCGAAGCAACGCGCAGAACCUUACCUGGGCUUAACAUCCCUUGACACCUCCAGAGAUGGGGGGUUCCCUUCGGGGACAAGGAGAUAGGUGCUGCAUGGCUGUCGUCAGCUCGUGUCGUAAGAUGUUGGGUUAAGUCCCGCAACGAGCGCAACCCUUGCCUUUAGUUGCCACCAUUAAGUUGGGCACUCUGAAGGGACUGCCGGUGUUAAACCGGAGGAAGGCGGGGAUGACGUCAAGUCCUCAUGGCCCUUACGUCCAGGGCUACACACGUACUACAAUGGCAGAGACAAAGCGUCGCGAAGCCGCGAGGUGGAGCUAAUCGCAAAAACACUGUCUCAGUCCGGAUUGAAGUCUGCAACUCGACUUCAUGAAGCUGGAAUCGCUAGUAAUCGCAUAUCAGCACGAUGCGGUGAAUACGUUCCCGGGCCUUGUACACACCGCCCGU
rnacentral:rRNA from 1 species